rnacentral:rRNA from 1 species
GCAGGCCUAACACAUGCAAGUCGAGCGGUAGCACAGAGAGCUUGCUCUCGGGUGACGAGCGGCGGACGGGUGAGUAAUGUCUGGGAAACUGCCUGAUGGAGGGGGAUAACUACUGGAAACGGUAGCUAAUACCGCAUAACGUCGCAAGACCAAAGUGGGGGACCUUCGGGCCUCAUGCCAUCAGAUGUGCCCAGAUGGGAUUAGCUAGUAGGUGGGGUAACGGCUCACCUAGGCGACGAUCCCUAGCUGGUCUGAGAGGAUGACCAGCCACACUGGAACUGAGACACGGUCCAGACUCCUACGGGAGGCAGCAGUGGGGAAUAUUGCACAAUGGGCGCAAGCCUGAUGCAGCCAUGCCGCGUGUGUGAAGAAGGCCUUCGGGUUGUAAAGCACUUUCAGCGGGGAGGAAGGCGUUAAGGUUAAUAACCUUGGCGAUUGACGUUACCCGCAGAAGAAGCACCGGCUAACUCUGUGCCAGCAGCCGCGGUAAUACGGAGGGUGCAAGCGUUAAUCGGAAUUACUGGGCGUAAAGCGCACGCAGGCGGUCUGUCAAGUCGGAUGUGAAAUCCCCGGGCUCAACCUGGGAACUGCAUUCGAAACUGGCAGGCUAGAGUCUUGUAGAGGGGGGGUAGAAUUCCAGGUGUAGCGGUGAAAUGCGUAGAGAUCUGGAGGAAUACCGGUGGCGAAGGCGGCCCCCUGGACAAAGACUGACGCUCAGGUGCGAAAGCGUGGGGAGCAAACAGGAUUAGAUACCCUGGUAGUCCACGCCGUAAACGAUGUCGAUUUGGAGGUUGUGCCCUUGAGGCGUGGCUUCCGGAGCUAACGCGUUAAAUCGACCGCCUGGGGAGUACGGCCGCAAGGUUAAAACUCAAAUGAAUUGACGGGGGCCCGCACAAGCGGUGGAGCAUGUGGUUUAAUUCGAUGCAACGCGAAGAACCUUACCUGGUCUUGACAUCCAGAGAAUUUGCUAGAGAUAGCUUAGUGCCUUCGGGAACUCUGAGACAGGUGCUGCAUGGCUGUCGUCAGCUCGUGUUGUGAAAUGUUGGGUUAAGUCCCGCAACGAGCGCAACCCUUAUCCUUUGUUGCCAGCACGUAAUGGUGGGAACUCAAAGGAGACUGCCGGUGAUAAACCGGAGGAAGGUGGGGAUGACGUCAAGUCAUCAUGGCCCUUACGAGUAGGGCUACACACGUGCUACAAUGGCAUAUACAAAGAGAAGCGAACUCGCGAGAGCAAGCGGACCUCAUAAAGUAUGUCGUAGUCCGGAUUGGAGUCUGCAACUCGACUCCAUGAAGUCGGAAUCGCUAGUAAUCGUAGAUCAGAAUGCUACGGUGAAUACGUUCCCGGGCCUUGUACACACCGCCCGUCACACCAUGGGAGUGGGUUGCAAAAGAAGUAGGUAGCCUAACCUUCGGGAGGGCGCUUACCACUUUGUGAUUCAUGACUGGGGUGAAGUC